rnacentral:rRNA from 1 species
UGGGGAAUAUUGGACAAUGGGGGGAACCCUGAUCCAGCCAUGCCGCGUGUGUGAAGAAGGCCUUAUGGUUGUAAAGCACUUUAAGCGAGGAGGAGGGUACUGGUAUUAAUACUACCAGCUACUGGACGUUACUCGCAGAAUAAGCACCGGCUAACUCUGUGCCAGCAGCCGCGGUAAUACAGAGGGUGCGAGCGUUAAUCGGAUUUACUGGGCGUAAAGCGUGCGUAGGCGGCUAAUUGAGUCGGAUGUGAAAUCCCCGAGCUUAACUUGGCAAUUGCAUUCGAUACUGGUUAGCUAGAGUGUGGGAGAGGAUAGGAGAAUUCCAGGUGUAGCGGUGAAAUGCGUAGAGUUCUGGGGGAAUACCGAUGGCGAAGGCAGCCAUCUGGCCUAACACUGACGCUGAGGUACGAAAGCAUGGGGAGCAAACAGG